AGAGUUUGAUCCUGGCUCAGGAUGAACGCUAGCGGCAGGCUUAACACAUGCAAGUCGAGGGGCAGCAUAAUGGAUAGCAAUAUCUAUGGUGGCGACCGGCGCACGGGUGCGUAACGCGUAUGCAACCUACCUUUAACAGGGGGAUAACACUGAGAAAUUGGUACUAAUACCCCAUAAUAUCAUAGAAGGCAUCUUUUAUGGUUGAAAAUUCCGAUGGUUAGAGAUGGGCAUGCGUUGUAUUAGCUAGUUGGUGGGGUAACGGCUCACCAAGGCGACGAUACAUAGGGGGACUGAGAGGUUAACCCCCCACACUGGUACUGAGACACGGACCAGACUCCUACGGGAGGCAGCAGUGAGGAAUAUUGGUCAAUGGACGCAAGUCUGAACCAGCCAUGCCGCGUGCAGGAUGACGGCUCUAUGAGUUGUAAACUGCUUUUGUACGAGGGUAAACGCAGAUACGUGUAUCUGUCUGAAAGUAUCGUACGAAUAAGGAUCGGCUAACUCCGUGCCAGCAGCCGCGGUAAUACGGAGGAUUCAAGCGUUAUCCGGAUUUAUUGGGUUUAAAGGGUGCGUAGGCGGUUUGAUAAGUUAGAGGUGAAAUUUCGGGGCUCAACCCUGAACGUGCCUCUAAUACUGUUGAGCUAGAGAGUAGUUGCGGUAGGCGGAAUGUAUGGUGUAGCGGUGAAAUGCUUAGAGAUCAUACAGAACACCGAUUGCGAAGGCAGCUUACCAAACUAUAUCUGACGUUGAGGCACGAAAGCGUGGGGAGCAAACAGGAUUAGAUACCCUGGUAGUCCACGCAGUAAACGAUGAUAACUCGUUGUCGGCGAUACACAGUCGGUGACUAAGCGAAAGCGAUAAGUUAUCCACCUGGGGAGUACGUUCGCAAGAAUGAAACUCAAAGGAAUUGACGGGGGCCCGCACAAGCGGAGGAACAUGUGGUUUAAUUCGAUGAUACGCGAGGAACCUUACCCGGGCUUGAAU
rnacentral:rRNA from 1 species